rnacentral:lncRNA from 1 species
AACAGUUGAGAGACGGUGCUAGAACCACGAAAUUGGGGAAUGCCUAUCACAUUCUCCCAUGUUAACAGAAUUCCUAAUCCAGAUUUCUGGUUCGCAAACUGUGUACAGAGUCAUGUUUCUCCUUGGUUCGGGAUUCAAUCGGUGACUUGGGACACCAUUAAUCUCCCAAGUGGAGACUCUGAAUAAAUAAUAACCAAAUCCUGUUCAGAUUGUCCUUGAAUUGGAAUGACUCCUUUUAUCCUUGCGGUCUGUAAGCGAACAAGGAGGUGUGACAGCUAUGGCGACUCUGC